UGGGGAAUUUUGGACAAUGGGCGAAAGCCUGAUCCAGCAAUGCCGCGUGUGUGAAGAAGGCCUUCGGGUUGUAAAGCACUUUUGUCCGGAAAGAAAUCCUUGGCUCUAAUACAGUCGGGGGAUGACGGUACCGGAAGAAUAAGCACCGGCUAACUACGUGCCAGCAGCCGCGGUAAUACGUAGGGUGCAAGCGUUAAUCGGAAUUACUGGGCGUAAAGCGUGCGCAGGCGGUUUACUAAGACCGAUGUGAAAUCCCCGGGCUCAACCUGGGAACUGCAUUGGUGACUGGCAGGCUAGAGUAUGGCAGAGGGGGGUAGAAUUCCACGUGUAGCAGUGAAAUGCGUAGAGAUGUGGAGGAAUACCGAUGGCGAAGGCAGCCCCCUGGGCCAAUACUGACGCUCAUGCACGAAAGCGUGGGGAGCAAACAGGAUUAGAUACCCUGGUAGUCCACGCCCUAAACGAUGUCAACUAGUUGUUGGGGAUUCAUUUCCUUAGUAACGUAGCUAACGCGUGAAGUUGACCGCCUGGGGAGUACGGUCGCAAGAUUAAAACUCAAAGGAAUUGACGGGGUCAUAGCUG
rnacentral:rRNA from 1 species